CUCCACGUCAAUGCUCACACUACACGCCCCUCGAGGGCGUUAAGGAAAGCAGGGAGAGUGACAGGGCCCUUACCGCGGGACAUCAGCCUUGCUGGGGUGGGGGCGACACUGACUGCGUCCCUCAGAGGGAGAUGAGACCCUGCUUCCCGCCUCCUCCUCCACACCCCCACAACGGGGAAAUGCAAAGAGAGACACCCAGAUGGUCACGCUGCUCUCGUCGGCCACCAGGCUCACCACACAAGCACUCUUACAAAUACCAGCUGAGUCCACCUGUGGAGCAUGAUGAAGAUGACAAAGAGAGAUUUUGGAAAAGGGUCCCAAAGUCUAGAAUGGAAUCUGGAGAUGGGUGUAGGAGCACAAAUGAUGCAGACCAGAGAAAAACAGCGUGAGGGCUGGGCGACAGCUGCUCCUGUUCACUGUGAAAUCUGCCGGAGUCCAGACACCGCUCCCCAAUUUCGAGCUACAGUGACGGUACCACCAGAUUGGUUAACUCAUCCAAAGGACGGUAUAAACUGAUCCAGAAAGAGCAGACCUGUCAAAAUAUUUGUGUAAGCCCAACAACUCCAAACUGUGUGUUUUUAUUUUGCUUUGUUUUGUUUUUGAGGAAGAUUAGCCCUGAGCUAACAUCUUCUGCCAAUCCUCCUCUUCUUUCUGAGGAAGACUGGCCCUCAGCUGACAUCUGUGCCCAUCUUCUUCUACUUUAUACAUGGGAUGCCUACCACAGCAUGGCGUGCCAAGCGGUGCCAUGUCCGCACCUGGGAUCCGAACCUGUGAACCCCGGGCCACCGAGAAGCGGAACGUGUGAACUUAAGUGCUGAGCCCCCAGGCCAGCCUCAAACUGAGAAUUAAUAUGGGUUUUUCCAACUCCAUUUGCUGUGCAAGAUCCCAUAAUUAGCCUUCCAACAAUGGUCAUUUUGGUUGGAGUUAAAUAAAAGAAACAGAAUUCUGGUAUGGUAUCAUCUGAAGACAUUUAAACUAUUUGCAAGCAAUAUUCUGUCUUUGCUAUUGUAUCCAUUGGAGUUUGUGGGUUGCAAGCAACCAAAAUCAGAUGAAGGUAAUUUAAGUAAAAACAGAGUUUAUUGAAUGGCUCAGAGAAGGGGAGGCAAGGCUACAGAAACAAAUCUCAUGAGGGAAUAAGAGCUAAAUGUUAGUCUUUCUGGGGUAACACCCUUGAACAAACAAAUGAAUACUAAUUGUUUUCCACCUCUGCCUAACAUUCACAUUCCACGGGGAGAGUAGAACUGAACUUGGGAUCACAUGCCCACCCCAUGGCAGGUGAAUGCGAGACACCUUGGACACCAGUCUCAUCAGCAUUACAUCCAAUAGAUGAGACAUUCUUUUCCAAAGGAAAAUUGGGUGCAAUUUCAGGGGAGUAGAGGAUGGAAGCUUGACACUCAAAAACAAUGGAGCAUCAGGUAUAAACACAGCAUCACUAUAGGAAUUAUUAUGCCCAUAUGUCCCAUGGAGAAAGGUAAAAUUUUUGAGUCUUAAAUCAACUGUGGCGAUCUCCUUUUCAAAUGCCACCUCAAAACGACAUGUCUCUUGAC
ensembl:lncRNA